rnacentral:rRNA from 1 species
CCUACGGGAGGCAGCAGUGAGGAAUAUUGGUCACUGGCCGGAAGGCUGAACCAGCCAUGCCGCGUGAAGGUCAGUGCCCUAUGGGCGUUAAACUUCUUUUGUGCGGGAGCAAUAAUGGUCACGUGUGGCCAGACGAGAGUACCGUACGAAUAAGCAUCGGCUAACUCCGUGCCAGCAGCCGCGGUAAUACGGGGGAUGCAAGCGUUAUCCGGAUUUAUUGGGGUUAAAGGGUGCGUAGGCUGUGAGGUAAGUCAGCGGUGAAAUGCCCCCGCUCAACGGGGUGAAGUGCCAUGGAUACUGCCUUGCUGGAAGGCGGAUGCCGUGGGAGGAAUGUGUGGUGUAGCGGUGAAAUGCAUAGAUAUCACACAGAACACCGAUUGCGAAGGCAUCUCACGAAUCCGCGAUUGACGCUGAUGCACGAAAGCGUGGGUAUCAAACAGGAUUAGAUACCCUAGUAGUC